rnacentral:rRNA from 1 species
UAAGGAAUAUUGGACAAUGGGGGCAACCCUGAUCCAGCCAUGCCGCGUGAAGGAUGAAGGCGUUAUGCGUUGUAAACUUCUUUUAUACGGGAAAAAACCCCCUUACGUGUAAGGGGUUGAUUGUACUGUAAGAAUAAGGAUCGGCUAACUUCGUGCCAGCAGCCGCGGUAAUACGAAGGAUUCGAGCGUUAUCCGGAUUUAUUGGGUUUAAAGGGUGCGUAGGCGGACUUGUAAGUCAGUGGUGAAAGCCCGCAGCUUAACUGCGGAAUUGCCGUUGAUACUGCAAGUCUUGAGUACACUUGAGGUGGGCGGAAUGUAUCAUGUAGCGGUGAAAUGCUUAGAUAUGAUACAGAACACCGAUUGCGAAGGCAGCUCACUAAAUUGUAACUGACGCUGAGGCACGAAAGCGUGGGUAUCAAACAG